GCAGAUGUAACUCAGUGGUAGAGUGUAACCUUGCCAAGGUUAAAGCCGUGGGUUCAAGUCCCAUUAUCUGCU
rnacentral:tRNA from 1 species